rnacentral:tmRNA from 2 species
GGGGUCGAUUUGGCUUCGACAGGAUUUAUUUCGUAUAAGUGCAUGUCGGCUGGCACGCCGUUAAACUACCAAAAAAAUAAACGCAAACAAUACAAAUUACGCUCCAGCUUACGCAAAAGUAGCGUGAGUUUAAUUCGCUUUUAGGAGCCGAUUUUGCAAAUUGAUGCUAAUAGAUUGCAAAAUCGUCAUUUUCUUAGCUGCCUUUGGAUUGCGCCAAAUAUCCAAAGAAAGAUCCAUGGCUUUUUGUUUGAAAGUUUGAGGAUUUAUAUCAAGCAAGAAUCUAAAAUCCUUACAAAGCAUGUAGAUUCUUAUAUGUAGAGAUAGAUUUUGGACUGGGGUUCAAUUCCCCACGACUCCACCA